ACACAGGAAGGGAGGUGGUCCGUCAAAUUGAGUGACUUAUGGACAUGUGAGGUGGCUGCCCGCUAGCAGCACCGGGAGGUUCGUGUCACGGGGCCCGAUCGGUGCCCCACGCGCUCGAUGCACCUGCGCGCGCUAGCGAAUUCCCGGCAGUCACCCGGCCCCCGAGCCCCUCGGCCCGUCCGCCAAGGAACCACGGCUCGGGGGCCGCUCCAU
rnacentral:sRNA from 1 species